ACAGGGAUGGGAAUGUCUCAGAGGAAUGGGAAUUCUUUUAUCUCUUAAGAUGAAAUAUUACAGGUGCUGCAGAGUGACUAGUCAAGCCUGCACAAUCUAUGCUGGUGGUGGAAAGACAAUUAAGAACUUUUUGGGUCAAGCAGAAGAUCCUGGGAAAGGCUAUAAUUGUGGCUGAUUAGAAGGCGAGCAUCUAAACACCCAUCCUUGUGGAGAAAAGAAUGGCUCAAAGCAUGAGGAGGGAUGAAAAGAGAAGCCAGCAGAGCUUGGAGAAUUUGGAUUUUCGGCAGGGUAAAAAUUCUGUGCUGUUGCCUGAAACUGGAGCCUGUUCCUGCCAAGAGAAGCUGACCUAGGAGAGGACAAAGUCAUGGGAUGGGAAGAUCCCUGGACCAAAGUGUGACAAAAGGUGGUUGAAGUAGAGCCAAGGCAGGGGAAAAGAUUUACUGAGUGCAAAAGGACACAAAAAUCAGAAUCCUUUGUGAUGCAUGGGGAGAAGGGCUGCAAAGGUGUCACCAACACAGAAUUAAAGAACAUCCAGAGAUGGCUACAACAGCAAGGGACCCACAAGGAUGAAAAAGGAGAGAAAAGCAAGAAGACCUGGUGUGGACAGAGCUUUAGGAAAAUGGGCCAUAGAGGAUCUCAGAUGAUCAGCAGGGAAUCAGGAGGAGGUGAUUUCUCUGCAGUACUUCAUCUAGAGGAAGGACCAAGAGAAGAAGUAAAGACACCAAGGAGUAGCAGCCCACAAUGGAAAGAGGCAAUGCUUGGGCUGAUGUUUCAGCCAGAGGGAAAUGGAAGAAGCUGCCAGUCACCUUUUCCAUGACUUUUUUCCAGGGGGAAACCCAGCUCUGGGGCUUCCAACAUAAGAAGCACAUGGACCUGUUGGACUGAGUGCAGAGGAUGCUAUGGGGAUGCUCUGAAGGUUCUUUCUGCUCUGGAGCCAGGCUGGGACAGCUGAGGGUGUUCACCUGGAAGAGAGAAGACUCCAGGGAGAGCUCAGAGCCCCUUCCAGGGCCUAAAGGGGCUCCAGGAGAGCUGGAGAGGGACUUGGGACAAGGGAUGGAGGGAGAGGACACAGGGAAUGGCUUCCCACUGCCAGAGGGCAGGGAUGGAUGGGAUAUUGAGAAGGAAUUGUUGCCUGUGAGGAUGGUGAGGCCCUGGCACAGGGUGCCCAGAGAAGCUGUGGCUGCCCCAGGAUCCCUGGAAGAGUCCAAGCCCGGGUUGGAUAGGGCUUGGAGCAAUCUGGGAUAGAGGAAAGUGUCCCUGCUCAUGGCAGGGGAUGAAACUAAAUCAUCUUUCAGGUCCCUUCCAACCCAAACCAUUCAGUGAUUCAGUGAUUCAGUGAUUAUCAGUUAUAAGAAAAAAACAAGCAUCAGGGACUGUGGGAAGGGGAAUCAUUUUACAAGGAAUUUACCUUACCUGAGUUAAAGUGUGAAAUCAGCUCCACUUCCUCCCACAGUCCAUGGCUCCACAUUGGCUUUUCUAGUGACCCAGAGGAACAGAAAAACUGGAUGUUACCCACACUUCCCAUUGGCACAGGGGCCAACCUUCACCCAGCUUGGAAGGGGAAGAAUUGCCUGAUAAGUUUAUUUUUCACUGAGUUUUAAAGAGCAGCGUGGCACAGUGACAACAGCAGCCAGCUACUCUAUAAGAUACAUCCCUGCCCUUCAGAGCCAAUUAAAUCACUGGAAUCCCAUGGGGGGAAGUAGGAAAUGCUGUGUAGUCACUUUUCCUAAAUCCCAGCUUGGAAAAGCACCGAGCGAGUCCAUCAAACUGGAGGCCUGAGCUGUUAAUGCUUUUCCAAGGGGAGAAACACAGUUCCCUGCACUGCUCACCACCUUCCUUGCCUGAUGAAGUCAUGUUGCUCCUUCCUACUGUGUAACAAGUUCCUCGAGGAGCAGGACACUCCUCCAGGGGAUUAUCCCAUUCUUGGUUUAAUGGGAAAAAUGUGAGUACUUCCAGAAAAAGCAGGAAGGAUGGAAAUCCUGGAAUCAGCCCCACUCCCCAGGUGGCCUCAGGACCAGGCAUCCAAUGUCACUCGUUCAGCUGAUGGCACUGAAAUGCCCACAAAGGCAUUUUGGGGGAAGCAGAGAGAGCAGACAGGUUCCUUUUGAUGCACAGGAAUAAAUGAAAACAGCUGCAGCUCUCAGGAGAUUAAAGGGAGCCUGAGGAGAGCUGAAUAAACCCUGUCACCGCAGGUAAGAUCUAGAUGACAGGAACGAUGAAGUUUGCUAAUGCACACGUAUCAAGACCAUACUAAUUCUUAAAUUUGUCAGGAGGUGUAAAGUGAUUUAAAUGUAACAUUUCUGUCCAAUAGACACAAGUUUGGGAUUCAUAUAAUUUCAUAUUUAGUGGGGAAUUGGUAUCUAGGUUUUUUCAUGUACACCUGACAACAUGAACAUGUUUCAAGGACUUGUAAGGAACUGGAAGUGAAGCACCUGGUCCAGUUGUGUGAAUAAACCACAUUCAGUUGUUUCAAGUCCAGGCUGGAUGAGGCUCUGAACAACCUGGUCUAUUGGGAGAUUCCCAACCCAUGGCAGGGAAUAGAUCAAGAUGGUCUUUAAGGUCCCUUCCUACUCAAAACAUUCAGUGAUUCCAUGAUUUUAUGAUCAGUAAGGGCUAACACUAUUGGCAGUCACUAAUAUCAUUUCCCACUCAAUUGGAAACUCAAAAAUGAAGUCCUCAUACAAAAGAGAAGGGCUGGAAUUGGAAAGGUUCACCAAACAUUCCUCACACUAUUUUAGAGGUAGUUCUUAUGAUGGCUGUGAACUGGAUUUUCAAUAGGGAACAUUUGGGACCUUCUGCACCUUUCCUAGAGAGCCCAGUGUGACAAAGUGGUGGGUGGGAGCUGGACAUGCCCCAGCUGGGUGCUCUCACAUCCCAGAAACUCCCCAUGCCCUGGGUUGAUCCCCAGAGUGGGCAGCAGGGGAGG